ACCGCGCCGAGUCUGCCCCGAGUUCUGUCAUCUCCCCGUGGCGAACUUUUCAGUACGUGCGGGGGGAGAUAAAUGUCCCCUUGUUUUCAGGAGCUAAGUCUCGAGUGAGUCUUUCCUAAAUGCUAAUGUAGGGAGUGUAGGUUCCAUCUUUUACAGAUGCGGUGUAACGCGGGUAUCUCACCUUCUGAAGGCAGGUUUCUCUUUCUGGCAAUGAGGUCAGGCAACUUCAGAGAAUGCAUUCUUGUUAGGUCUCUCUCCAUAACCAAAGCAGGAAUAGAAUACUCUUCAAAUGAAGGCUCGCUCUUGAGAUUUCUGUUACUUGAAUUUACAACCCUAUGUGCCUGACAGGCUCUGUUGCUUCUCCCCAUGAAAUGCUAUGAUAGCCUUUUCAACAGUGUGACUCAUAUCCCUAAAUGCAGGAGUGAAUUUUGACUUAGUACAAUGCAAGUGCUUUAUCUCAGCAAACAGCCUUGUGUAGAAAAUGCAGAGACGGUGGAGAGAGUGUCACUUACUGUAUCUAUUAAUCUUUGUCCUCAGAAGGACAGCAUUUGAGGUUGUUUGCCUGUUGGAGUUCUGUCUUCACUCCCAAUUCAAUCAGAUGAUGUCGGUUCUUUCUAAUUAGUGUUACCAUUUCAUGAAGGGCUGAAAACCAUUUUUAAAAGGAGGAACUAGUUUGUUCUUGUUUAUUAUUGAAACUGUAUUGCCUGUGGACAUCGAGCCCAUUUUAGUCUAAAUGGGUGAUGUACCUUUUUCUUUCUUUCUCUCUGUGUAAUGACUGUGAGAAAUUCUGCUUACUGCAAGACCCACAGUUCACACAGUUACUGGUGACUGCCAAACCUAAGGGUAGGAAAAAAUCCUUCAUGGGUUGUUGGUUUUUUUUGGUGUUUUCAUUAUGUAAGAUAACUUGCCAUACUACCUCCUAGUCUGUACCUGUCUGAGAGAAUAUAAGGAGUAAUUUAAAGUGAAGCAGUAUGUUUAGUGAAAACUCUUUAGUGCUCUUUUUAAGGUUUACGGAUUGUUUUCUCUUUCUGUUAGACAGAAUGUGAAUUUAUUUUGUAUGAGUGUGUAAGGAUUAAUUAAUAUAUGCUUCCCUUUCCUGAGUGGUUAAUCCAUCUUGCUGACUAGGAAGAAGCCAGCUUGUACAGCCUGGACUGGAAAGAUGCUGAAAGACAAAGUGGCUGAAUAGUGAAUAUAAGAAGAUCAGGUUGUUUAAAGUCCAGAAACUAAACUGCCUAAAACUUGGGAAGCAGCCAGCAACCUGGAGUGCAGAUCAUCAAAAAUCCUUAAUCUGCUUCAUGAGUGCCAGCAGAACUCACUUGUUUAUCCUGAUUUGGAACCACAGCAAUACUGCUGCAGCCACUUGGCACUGAACAUCAGGAGUAGCUGCUGAAGAAGUGACCUCUGGAUUGUAGUCAUCAAUGACAACAAGCUACUGCAGUCAGUGGAAGCUGCAAGCGUGCUGUGAGCAUUAAGUUGAUACACUGGAAAGCAACUCUGGUGUUUGGAUGGAAGCUUUUCUCUUGGCAUGGCAUGAAGCUUUGUGAGUAACAGACCUUACAAACUGAAGCCUUGCUCUUUCAGAUGAUCUCCAAAAUGUUGUUCCAUCUCUAAGCCAAGUAUUUGGUGGACUGUUUUCUUCUUAUGGAGAUUAAAGUUCCAAUGCAAAGGGGAAGAAACAAAGGCUGAAGUAUUUAAAUCAUACUCGAUAAAGAAAAUCUAAAAAAUCUGAUACACACCAAAAUCAUUCUGUUCUCUAACGAUAUGUGCUUCUUGGUAUGUGGUUAUAUAAAAAUGAAGAAAGGAUGUUAUGCAAAUCAGUGUUUUUUAGUUUGACACUCACUACGCAGCCACCUGUUAAAACAUAACGGUAUGGAUGAGUCCCAGUACGAGAUAUGAAAGCUUUGCAGCUUCUGAUGUUUGCUAACCUUCAGAAAGCAGAUUUUGUUAUCAAAGUAGAAUUCGAGAGCCUGAAAAAAUAAGUGUGUAUGAACUUUGAAAGUAGUACAUAGGCUGGAAAAUUGAGUUGUGCUUGAGCCAGAUGGAGACCAGCCAGGUGACUCUUGUAGAAAAUUUCACUUCCUUCGUACUUCUGAUCUACAAAUGUGGACUAAAUGUGAGUUUACAAACAUUAUUUUCAUCUGACUUUAGAUUUAAAAGUAUGAAAAAAGCUUAUUGACAUUCUUUGCAAGAACACUUGGCUAGUAGCCUACACUCAGUAUCAAUAAACAUACUUCCUAAUGCAUUGUCAGACCAGUGAGAGGAGUUUGUUCUCAAAAUACAUGUGGAGUGACUACAUGGAAGUUGCUGAAGUCUACUAAGGAUAUUUAAUUGUACCUCAUCUGUCAUUUGUGGUUAGAUAUGUGGAAGUACAGUAUUUCUUAGUAUCUCUGUCUACAUGAGUCAGUGCUCAAAACAUUUUGAAGACAGUGGCUGUUUUGGAACAUGUGAAAGUAUUAAAGUUCUGCAAAAUUUAAGUUUAAAGGAACUCUGAAUUGGUGCUCGGUGAUGUUUACCAACUUAAGUCGUUCAUGAGAUGGUAGAUGUUGGUUCCUCCCUUAGCACAGACCCACAGUGUCUUGUGCAAAGCUAGCGUUGUGUCUUAUCUCUAAUGACUAUGGAGAGCUGUAGAACUGGUCACACAUGUGAAUGUAUGCACAUGUAAUGGGAUACUUCUUUUUGUUGCGCUAUAGGCAAGACCCUUAUAGUGUACAUUGAUACAAGUGUUUGGAGUGCUUAGAGAUCUGACUGUAGAGAUAUAUUUUUUUUGAGGUUGAUGUAUCAGUAAGGGUAGCAAUAAUAGUGAGGAAUAGUAUCUGAGGGGGUUUCCACUUAUCUUGGAGAAUUUAUUGAAGAAAUAUCAUAAAACGGGAAGUCUAAUCACUGGCUGCAGGUUUCUCAUAAAGGAAAAACCCAACUUGUUCCUCACUCAGGGUGAAAGCUCUGCCGCUUCUAAGAAUACCAGGAAAUGCCAAAAACUCCUUGACAAACAGUUUUCCUCAAUUGAUGUUUACAGUCCAAUUUGUAUAUGAGAAUUUAUUAGUUUAUUAGGCCAAGUGUGGCUUGGCCAUGAAAACUCACUUUUAUCUGUUGACAUAUCAAUCAUAAUGUUGAUUUAAUAGUAUUUACUGUUCUUUAUCUGGUGGUUUUUUUUCAGUCUUUCGUGACCUGGUGUGUUCAGCCAUUCAGUUAGUUAAGCCCUUGUCUUUUCAGGAUAAUUUUCUAGCAUCUUGUUGUCUGUCCAAUGUGUGUUUUGUUAACUCUACCUUGGGAUUGCAUUGAAUUUUUUUCUUUUUACCUCAAGUCUUCAUUUGGUGCAUUUGUUUUCUUUCUCACCUUUUAAUUUCUUGAUUAACUUAACGCUUCUGUCUUUCUGUUAUAGUGAUUUUUUUCUCAGGUUUUCAAGUUUUUCCCCCUCUUUCUUACAGUUGUUUUCUCUACAAUUUCCUUCCCGUAUCUGUUAUUCUGUAAGUACAUAAAUUGCAAUG